rnacentral:rRNA from 1 species
UACAGAGGUCCCGAGCGUUGUUCGGAUUCACUGGGCGUAAAGGGUGCGUAGGUGGUUGGGUAAGUCUGAUGUGAAAUCUCCGGGCUCAACCCGGAAAUGGCAUUGGAUACUAUUCGGCUAGAGGUUUGGAGGGGGGACUGGAAUUCUCGGUGUAGCAGUGAAAUGCGUAGAUAUCGAGAGGAACACCAGUGGCGAAGGCGAGUCCCUGGACAACACCUGACACUGAGGCACGAAAGCUAGGGGGGCAAACGGG